AUUCCAGCUCCAAUAGCGUAUAUUUAAGUUGUUGCGGUUAAAAAGCUCGUAGUUGGAUUUCGGGCGUGGAGGUUCGGUCCGCCGUUUCGGUGUGCACUGUCUUUCUGCGUCUUUCUGUCGGGGACGCGCUUCUGGCCUUAAUUGGCUGGGACGUGGAUUCGACGAGGUUACUUUGAAAAAAUUAGAGUGUUCAAAGCAAGCUAAAGCUCUGAACACAUUAGCAUAGAAUAACGCGAGAGGACUCGGUCCUUAUUUUGUUGGUCUUCAAGGAUGGAGUAAUGAUUAAGAGGGACAGUUGGGGGCAUUCGUAUUUCAUUGCUAGAGGUGAAAUUCUUGGAUUUAUGAAAGACGAACUUCUGCGAAAGCAUUUGCCAAGGAUGUUUUCAUCA
rnacentral:rRNA from 1 species